GCUCUGUCAGGAGUUAAGAAAUAUAAGUGUGCUAAUACCACAUUUAUUUGACGAAGGCUCCAAAGGAAGCCACGGCUAACUCUGUGCCAGCAGCCGCGGUAAUACAGAGGUGGCAAGCGUUGUUCGGAAUUAUUGGGCGUAAAGAGCGCGUAGGUGGGUUUGUAAGUCAGAUGUGAAAGCCUUCUGUUCAACGGAAGAAUUGCAUCUGAAACUGCGAGUCUUGAGUGUAGGAGGGGAGAAUGGAACUUCUGGUGGAGCGGUGAAAUGCGUAGAUAUCAGAAGGAACACCGGCGGCGAAAGCGAUUCUCUGGCCUAUUACUGACACUCAGUGUGCGAAAGCUAGGGGAGCAAACGGGAUUAGAUACCCCGGUAGUCCUAGCCGUAAACGAUGGGCACUAAGUAGAGGGAAUUACCGAUGUUCUCUCUGCCGUAGCUAACGCAUUAAGUGCCCCGCCUGGGGAGUACGGCCGCAAGGCUAAAACUCAAAAGAAUUGACGGGGGCUCGCACAAGCGGUGGAGCAUGUGGCUUAAUUCGAUGCAACGCGAAGAACCUUACCGGGGCUUGACAUGGUAGAAGUAGAAACCCGAAAGGGUAACGAACGGUAUCCAGUCCGUAACUAUCACAGGUGUUGCAUGGCUGUCGUCAGCUCGUGUCGUGAGACGUUGGGUUAAGUCCCCUAACGAGCGAAACCCUUGUUUUUAGUUACCAGCGGGUUAUGCCGGGUACUCUAGAAAGACUGCCGUCGUCAAGACGGAGGAAGGUGGGGAUGACGUCAAGUCAUCAUGGCCCUUAUGCCCCGGGCUGCACACGUGCUACAAUGGUCGGUACAAAC
rnacentral:rRNA from 1 species